rnacentral:rRNA from 1 species
CGUGUAGGCGGUAAUGUAAGUCAGACGUGAAAUCCUUUGGCUCAACUGAAGAACUGCGUCUGAAACUGCAUGACUAGAGUGCAGAAGAGGGAAACGGAAUUCCCGGUGUAGAGGUGAAAUUCGUAGAUAUCGGGAGGAACACCGGUGGCGAAGGCGGUUUCCUGGUCUGACACUGACGCUGAGGCGCGAAAGCGUGGGGAGCAAACAGGAUUAGAUACCCUGGUAGUCCACGCCGUAAACGGUGGGUACUGGGUGUGGGAGGUGUAAUGCCUUCUGUGCCGAAGCUAACGCGUUAAGUACCCCGCCUGGGGAGUACGGCCGCAAGGUUGAA